GUCUGUUUGUAGAUAUAAAGAGUUUAACCUGCCCACUGAUAAAAAUUUAAAGGCCGCAGUAUUCUGACUGUGCAAAGGUAGCAUAAUCGUUAGUUCCCUAAUUAGGAUCUUGUAUGAAUGGUUGGACAAAAGGAAAUCUGUCUCUGUAUUUAUGUUUGAAUUUAACUUUUAAGUGAAAAGGCUUAAAUAAAUUAAAGGGACGAUAAGACCCUAUAAAACUUAAUGUAUAACACUUUAUAUAACUGAAUUUUUGAUUUUAAAGGUUUAAUAUGUGUGUAUUUUAUGUUGGGGUGACAAAAGUAAAAUUAAAAUUAACUGCUUAGCGAUUAAAUCAAAAAUAAAUGAAUAUAAUUAAAUGAUCCUAAAUAAAGAUUAUAAGUUUAAGUUACUUUAGGGAUAACAGCGUUAUUUUUUUUGAGAGUUCUUAUCGAAAAAAAAGUUUGCGACCUCGAUGUUGAAUUAAAAUAUCUAUAUAAUUGUAGCAGUUAUAGUAGAAGGUCUGUUCGACCUUUAAAGUUUUACAUGAUUUGAGUUCAAACCGGCGUGAGCCAGGUUGGUUUCUAUCUUUUAAUAAAUAAAUUUAUUGUUUUAGUACGAAAGGAUUAAGCAA
rnacentral:rRNA from 1 species